AUUUACUGUUGUCUCCAAGACACUGGCAAUUGUGUGGCUUUCUUGGCUUUUCAUUCCAUGAAAGGCUCUUUCAUCCCAGCUCCUCCGGCGCCUGGGGAGCUGGAUGGGAAGGGAAGAAAGAGGUGUAACAGGACUCUGUGAACACGGCUCUGUAUUGUGCUCCACUGUGAUAUCCUGCUUUCUAUCGCUUUCUAUUUCUGGCUAAGUCCCUGGACAGCUACCUGAAUGAAACAUAUGGAAUGUUUUUUAAUCCUAUCAUUACUCACCGAGGUAUGGAAGUCACAACUCUGGCACCUCACUGCCUCACUCAUUUAAAAUGCCUUUUGCUAUUUUUUUAAGUGAGAGAAGAAAAGAAAAGAGUAGAAAGAGAGAGAACAAACUCAGUCAAUGAAGAAACAAAAGUGAGUCCCUGGGGCUAGCAAGAGACAUUGCCAAAUCUUCGGAGACUUCCACACACUGACAAAAAUGUGGAAGCAACACAACAUGCGUCACAUACAGGCGCCGAGGAGCACACAGGAGCCAAAGCUAUAAAAAACUUGCUCUAAAAUUUCAGAGAAGUGAAAUUCUCUUCUCAAAGGUGUUGAGAACUGGCCCCGGCAGCCUCCCAAGCUUUAGUAAAAGAAGCAUGAAAUGGCUGUCAGAGAUGAAAUGCCUAUAAAAAUUUGUUAAACUGCAAAGACAGGAACUAUAUCUUUUUAGCUUUUACUCCAUAGCAUUGAACACAAAAAUACUUCUGGGCUGGGACCUUGAGCAGGGUAGCACGGGAGUGAAUUUGAUCCAGGCUACAGAAGGAUUUUGCUGGCUUUCUAAACUAUUGGGUAAAGAAAGCAGGUACAACCCAAGUCACCAGAGCUCAUAAAAGACGUGUGCACUGUCGCAUCUAUGUGAAGUAUUUCCAUGACCCGAGCAUUGACUACAGGACUGUGCUGGAGGAAGCUGGAUCAAGGUACCAAGGUGAGUCAAAAGCCAGUUAUAUAAAACAUGAAUAGAAAUAUAAGUACAUGCCCAUGCGUAUGAGUCCCAGACUUACAUGACAACAAUUGACCCACUCACUCUCUAAUCAUCAAUCAACAGUAUUUACUCUGUUACUCUCCAGCGCCCAGCAUUCCCUAAGGGUUCUGUCAUUUCAGCAGCAUAUAGAGCAUCAGACCUCACCUCAAGUUGCUUAUCAUCCAAUUUAGAUUGGCAGGGAGAGGGAAGAUAGACAAGAAGCCAAGAAUAACAGCAUAGAAAGAUGCAUCAUUCAGUCAUUCAACACACAUUAUAGAACAUCUAGUAAAAGGCAAGCAUUGUACAUGUGAAUACAGAGUCCUUGCCUUCAAUGACUGCAACCUGCUAAAUACAAUCAGUACUAGUUGAGGGAUAAAGUGUACCACACUCAUGGAUUUAAGAAUGAGCAUAGUGUGUGUUUAGAGUAGGCUGACUACUCCCCAGCAAUUCUGUGACAGUAAAAUGACAUACAAAGAUCAAAUAAAGGAAAACUUUCAGAAUCAGGAAAUCCUUCUUCAUGAUCGCUUCUGAGAGGAUUGGAAUUCAGCAUCAUAAAUUUUUUGGCUGGUCAGUGUGGCUCACGCCUAUAAUCCCAGCACUUUGAGAGGCCAAGGUGGGCAGAUUGCCAGAGCUCAGGAGUUACCAGCCUGGCCAAGAUGAUGAAACCCCAUCUCUACUAAAAAUACAAAAAUGAACUAGGCGUGAUGGCGUGCACCUGUAAUUCCAGCUACUUGGGAGGCUGAGGCAUGAAAAUUGCUUAAGCCUAGAAGGUGGAAGUUGCAGUGAGCCAAGAUCAUGCCACUGCACUCCAGCCCAUGUGGCAGAGUAAGACCGCC
rnacentral:lncRNA from 1 species